rnacentral:rRNA from 1 species
UACAUGGGGUGCAAACGUUGCUCGGAAUCAUUGGGCGUAAAGCGCACGUAGGCGGUUCGUUAUGUCGGAUGUGAAAGCCCUCGGCUUAACCGGGGAAGUGCAUCCGAAACUGGCGAGCUUGAGUACUAAAGAGGGUCGCGGAAUUCCCGGUGUAGAGGUGAAAUUCGUAGAUAUCGGGAGGAACACCGGCGGCGAAGGCGGCGACCUGGGUAGAUACUGACGCUGAGGUGCGAAAGCGUUGGGAGCAAACAGG